AUGUAGAAUAUUAAUUAUUCUUCAUAAUUUAUUUUAAAUAUAGUAACUAUUUAAAAAUGCAACUGAAAGUAAAUCAGAAUGUAUCUGAAAUCAAUUAAAUAUGUAACUCAAUGUAAUUAUCUUCACAGAUUGUUUUAAAGGACUCCCAUCCAUACUGUUUGCAGCACUGUACCAGACAGCACACUAUUCAGAACUGAGAAUCAGUGCAGUUCCUCCUGUACAGAGCUGCACUGAAUGGAGCAGAGCUGGCACAAAACUAGAACAAUGAGAGUCAAGCCAGUUCCUGUCAGUGAGAUGGUGGUCCUGUUUGCAAGAGAGGAAACUCGCUGAGUGGUUAAGGAGAAUGUUUACAGUGGUGGCACCAGUGAUCUGCCUUACCUAUCAGUCCUCCAAGUGGCAGAAGUGUUAAAAAAAAACCCAUAGUAACAUAUCAUUACACAAUCACAGUUAUUAGUAUUUGUAUUUUACAUAACUAUUACACUGUAUCAAAGUUUCAAAAAUUUUCGUGUGGAUAUUUACAUGAUUACAUUACACUGGUGAGCAAGAAACUGUAUCAAAGUUAUAUAUAUUUGCAUUUCCAUAAUAUUUAAUUUACAUUUUAUAUUCCAGUCUGUACAAAUAAAACCAAAUUAAUCUAUCCCAAGUGUUUUGUGUAAGGCCAGAUCUCUCUGUGAAAGAUCAACUGAAAGGUGGACCAUGAAGAGGAGGAACUCAUUGAAGGACUGCAGAGA